rnacentral:rRNA from 1 species
GGGGGACCUUCGGGCCUCACACCUACCGAUGACCCAGGCGCCAUUAGCUAUUUGGUGGGGUAAAGGCUCACCAAGGCGACGAUCCCUAGCUGUUCUGAGAGGAUGAUCAGCCACACUGGCACUGAACACGGCCCAGACUCCUACGGAGGCAGCAAGGGGGAAUAUUGCACAAUGGCGGAAACCCUGAUGCAGCCAUGCCGCGUGUGUGAAGAAGGCCUUCGUUGUAAAGCACUUUCAGUGGUGAGGAAAGGGUGAUAGUUAAUAGCUAUCACAGUUGACGUUAGCCACAGAAGAAGCACCGACUAACUCCGUGCCAUAAGCCGCGGUAAUACGGAGGGUGCAAGCGUUAAUCGGAAUUACUGGGCGUAAAGCGUACGUAGGCGGUGUGUUAAGCUAGAUGUGAAAGCCCCGGGCUCAACCUGGAAUAGAUUUAGAACUGGCACGCUAGAGUCCUGAAGAGGGUGAAAAAAUUUCCAGUGUACCGGUGAAAUGCGUA